GACGAACGCUGGCGGCGUGCUUAACACAUGCAAGUCGAACGGGCCUUGUCCCCUUUUUUUUGGGGGUGGGGUUAGUGGCGAACGGGUGAGUAACACGUGAGUAACCUGCCCCUCACUUCUGGAUAACCGCUUGAAAGGGUGGCUAAUACGGGGUGUUCUGGCCUGCUCGCAUGGGUGGGUUUGGAAAGAUUCGACCGGUUUUGGUUGUUUUGGUGGGGGUUGGGCUCGCGGCCUAUCAGCUUGUUGGUGGGGGGAUGGCCUGCCAAGGCUUUGACGGGUAGCCGGCCUGAGAGGGUGGGCGGUCACACUGGGACUGAGACACGGCCCAGACUCCUACGGGAGGCAGCAGUGGGGAAUAUUGCACAAUGGGCGCAAGCCUGAUGCAGCGACGCCGCGUGAGGGAUGGAGGCCUUCGGGUUGUGAACCUCUUUCGCCAGUGAAGAAGGUCCUGCUCUUUGUGGUGGGGUUGACGGUAGCUGGGUUAAUGAAGCGCCGGCUAACUACGUG
rnacentral:rRNA from 1 species